GGAGGGGAGACCGCUGCUUUGCUGUCUUAUGCAUCAAGAAUGCUUAACAGUGCACACAUAAAUAAAAGUUUCGCAGAUGGAGAAAGAAGGAAAAGAAUGAGAAUCCUAAGUAGCAGAGAAAGGUUCAAGGUUAAUUUGAUGGGCAAUACAUGAAAAGCCACUUACCUGAGGCCAUUUCAAAUUGCCCUUUAUUCUCUCCACAGUGAAUGAAACGAUUCUUCCCAAAGACAGAGGGAUCAGCUGAUAAUGCCUGCUGUUACAUAUGCAUACCCCACUUUACAUGCUGUAGCUCACUUGCAAGUCUCUUCACAGAUGCCCUGGCAGAGGGGUGGAACUCAGGCGCCCUCGCGGGCACUGGGGGCCUGGGAGAGACCACACCUGUGGCAUGCAGGUGCUCCGUGGCCCGCCUGCCACAGUGCUUGCUGGAGGACACUUCCCAAAGACUUGGUGCACGAUUCAAAAACUCACAUUGAAAUCCAUGACUUUAUCAUUGAGUUUCCAAGUUGCAAUCCAGUAACACAUGUGACCCCAGUGAACUGGAGUUCAGUUCUUCCCACAUCCGUUUGCUGUCUGUCAGACACCGGGCAGGAGGGUGGACAGUUUCACCUCCACGGAAGCCGGCUGAAGUCAGGAUCCCAGACACAGCCGGAGACAGAGCUCCUAAGUGC
rnacentral:lncRNA from 1 species